UGCNGGCAGGUCAGUGGNGCCUGCUAACGCAUUUAAGCANUNCCNCNUUGGGGGAGUACGGUCGCAAUAUUNAAANUCAAAGGGAUUGACCGGGGGCCCGCACAAGCGGUGGAGCAUGUGGUUUAAUUGGNAGCGACGCNCAGAACCUUACCAUCCCUUGACAUGGCAUGUUACCUCGANAGAUCGGGGAUCCUCUUCGGAGGCGUGCACACAGGUGCUGCAUGGCUGUCGUCAGCUCGUGUCGUGAGAUGUUGGGUUAAGUCCCGCAACGAGCGCAACCCACGUCCUUAGUUGCCAUCAUUCAGUUGGGCACUCUAGGGAGACUGCCGGUGAUAAGCCGCGAGGAAGGUGUGGAUGACGUCAAGUCCUCAUGGCCCUUACGGGAUGGGCUACACACGUGCUACAAUGGCGGUGACAGUGGGACGCGAAGCCGCGAGGUGGAGCAAAUCCCCAAAAACCGUCUCAGUUCGGAUUGCACUCUGCAACUCGGGUGCAUGAAGGCGGAAUCGCUAGUAAUCGUGGAUCAGCACGCCACGGUGAAUACGUUCCCGGGCCUUGUACACACCGCCCGUCACACCAUGGGAGUUGGUCUUACCCGACGGCGCUGNAACAACCCGNCGAGGAGGCAGGUGAUUUU
rnacentral:rRNA from 1 species